rnacentral:rRNA from 1 species
UACGUAGGGGGCAAGCGUUGUCCGGAAUCAUUUGGGCGGUAAAGCGCGUGUAGGCGGCUUCGGUAAGUCCGCUCUGAAAGUCCAGGGCUCAACCCUGGGAUGCGGGUGGAUACUGCCGGGCUCGAGUCCGGAAGAGGCGAGGUGGAAUUCCCGGUGUAGGCGGUGAAAUGCGCAGAUAUCGGGAGGAACACCAGUAGCGAAGGCGGCACGUCUGGGCCCG